UGAUUUUAGCGGAACGCUCUGGAAAGUGCGGCCAUAGUGGGUGAUAGCCCCGUACGCGAAAGGAUCUUUGAAGUGAAAUCGAGUAGGACGGAGCACGAGAAACUUUGUCUGAACAUGGGGGGACCAUCCUCCAAGGCUAAAUACUACUGACUGACCGAUAGUGAACCAGUACCGUGAGGGAAAGGCGAAAAGAACCCCGGAGAGGGGAGUGAAAUAGAACCUGAAACCGUAUGCGUACAAGCAGUGGGAGCCUACUUGUUAGGUGACUGCGUACCUUUUGUAUAAUGGGUCAGCGACUUAUAUUCAGUGGCAAGCUUAACCGUAUAGGGUAGGCGUAGCGAAAGCGAGUCUUAAUAGGGCGUUUAGUCGCUGGGUAUAGACCCGAAACCGGGCGAUCUAUCCAUGAGCAGGUUGAAGGUUAGGUAACACUGACUGGAGGACCGAACCCACUCCCGUUGAAAAGGUAGGGGAUGACUUGUGGAUCGGAGUGAAAGGCUAAUCAAGCUCGGAGAUAGCUGGUUCUCCUCGAAAGCUAUUUAGGUAGCGCCUCAUGUAUCACUCUGGGGGGUAGAGCACUGUUUCGGCUAGGGGGUCAUCCCGACUUACCAAACCGAUGCAAACUCCGAAUACCCAGAAGUGCCGAGCAUGGGAGACACACGGCGGGUGCUAACGUCCGUCGUGAAAAGGGAAACAACCCAGACCGCCAGCUAAGGUCCCAAAGUUGUGGUUAAGUGGUAAACGAUGUGGGAAGGCUUAGACAGCUAGGAGGUUGGCUUAGAAGCAGCCACCCUUUAAAGAAAGCGUAAUAGCUCACUAGUCGAGUCGGCCUGCGCGGAAGAUGUAACGGGGCUCAAACCACACACCGAAGCUGCGGGUGUCACGUAAGUGACGCGGUAGAGGAGCGUUCUGUAAGCCUGUGAAGGUGAGUUGAGAAGCUUGCUGGAGGUAUCAGAAGUGCGAAUGCUGACAUGAGUAACGACAAUGGGUGUGAAAAACACCCACGCCGAAAGACCAAGGGUUCCUGCGCAACGUUAAUCGACGCAGGGUUAGUCGGUUCCUAAGGCGAGGCUGAAAAGCGUAGUCGAUGGGAAACAGGUUAAUAUUCCUGUACUUCUGGUUACUGCGAUGGAGGGACGGAGAAGGCUAGGCCAGCUUGGCGUUGGUUGUCCAAGUUUAAGGUGGUAGGCUGAAAUCUUAGGUAAAUCCGGGGUUUCAAGGCCGAGAGCUGAUGACGAGUCGUCUUUUAGAUGACGAAGUGGUUGAUGCCAUGCUUCCAAGAAAAGCUUCUAAGCUUCAGGUAACCAGGAACCGUACCCCAAACCGACACAGGUGGUCGGGUAGAGAAUACCAAGGCGCUUGAGAGAACUCGGGUGAAGGAACUAGGCAAAAUGGCACCGUAACUUCGGGAGAAGGUGCGCCGGCUAGGGUGAAGGAUUUACUCCGUAAGCUCUGGCUGGUCGAAGAUACCAGGCCGCUGCGACUGUUUAUUAAAAACACAGCACUCUGCAAACACGAAAGUGGACGUAUAGGGUGUGACGCCUGCCCGGUGCCGGAAGGUUAAUUGAUGGGGUUAGCGCAAGCGAAGCUCUUGAUCGAAGCCCCGGUAAACGGCGGCCGUAACUAUAACGGUCCUAAGGUAGCGAAAUUCCUUGUCGGGUAAGUUCCGACCUGCACGAAUGGCGUAACGAUGGCGGCGCUGUCUCCACCCGAGACUCAGUGAAAUUGAAAUCGCUGUGAAGAUGCAGUGUAUCCGCGGCUAGACGGAAAGACCCCGUGAACCUUUACUGUAGCUUUGCACUGGACUUUGAGCCUGCUUGUGUAGGAUAGGUGGGAGGCUUUGAAGCGUGGACGCCAGUUCGCGUGGAGCCAUCCUUGAAAUACCACCCUGGCAUGCUUGAGGUUCUAACUCUGGUCCGUAAUCCGGAUCGAGGACAGUGUAUGGUGGGCAGUUUGACUGGGGCGGUCUCCUCCUAAAGAGUAACGGAGGAGUACGAAGGUGCGCUCAGACCGGUCGGAAAUCGGUCGUAGAGUAUAAAGGCAAAAGCGCGCUUGACUGCGAGACAGACACGUCGAGCAGGUACGAAAGUAGGUCUUAGUGAUCCGGUGGUUCUGUAUGGAAGGGCCAUCGCUCAACGGAUAAAAGGUACUCCGGGGAUAACAGGCUGAUACCGCCCAAGAGUUCAUAUCGACGGCGGUGUUUGGCACCUCGAUGUCGGCUCAUCACAUCCUGGGGCUGAAGCCGGUCCCAAGGGUAUGGCUGUUCGCCAUUUAAAGUGGUACGCGAGCUGGGUUUAGAACGUCGUGAGACAGUUCGGUCCCUAUCUGCCGUGGACGUUUGAGAUUUGAGAGGGGCUGCUCCUAGUACGAGAGGACCGGAGUGGACGAACCUCUGGUGUUCCGGUUGUCACGCCAGUGGCAUUGCCGGGUAGCUAUGUUCGGAAAAGAUAACCGCUGAAAGCAUCUAAGCGGGAAACUUGCCUCAAGAUGAGAUCUCACUGGGAACUUGAUUCCCCUGAAGGGCCGUCGAAGACUACGACGUUGAUAGGCUGGGUGUGUAAGCGUUGUGAGGCGUUGAGCUAACCAGUACUAAUUGCCCGUGAGGCUUGACCAU
rnacentral:rRNA from 1 species